UUGAGGGUGCUCGAGUCACGCCUGCAAUUCUUUUUGCUUUCACAUUUGGCCGACCUGGUUAAGAUUUUCUCAGGUUCUCGGAUCGUGAAAUUAUUUGAAGAUGUUGCUGAGUUAUUAUCAUGGUCUACUUGUCCUGAGAGUUGUGACCCCCUAGAAAAAAUCACAUUUAGGAUUUCAUGCUGGAGGGGACUUCAAUUGUGUUUGGAUGAAUCUUCUCAUCACACUCAAGACUAUAAAUCUAGCAUGGAAAAAUGCAUGGAGUUUCUCUUUACUUUGCUGCCUUCUGCUCAAACUGACGAGUCUUGUCAGGUUAAAAUUUUUGAAGAAUGGUCUGAAGCACUUAGAUGCCUGGAGAAGGCUCAACAAGGAUGGCUAUUGGAUCUUCUAAAGGUUUCAGAGGUGAACUUCACUGUCGCAAACUCUCUGUCGUUUGAAACUGUGAAAAAGAUUCAAGCAAUAGCAAAACUAGUUCAAAGUGGUUCCCUGCCAUUGACUGUGCUUGGUAAACUAAAAGCUUGUCUUUUGGACAGCAGAUCUCAAGAUAUUUGGGAUGCUCUAACUGAAGUUUCAAUAACCGUACAACAUGCUGAAGGGAAUGCCAAAAGACAAUGGCUCAUUGAGGCACUGGAAAUUAGUUGCAUUACGAGAUUUCCGUCCACGGCUCUGCAGUUUGUCGGCCUGCUAUGUGGAAGCUGCUGUAUCUAUAGGCCCGUGUUAAUUGUGGACAAAUUCACUGUUUUGAGCGAUCUGCCAGUCACCCUCACGUCCCUCCUCUCGGAUAGCUCCUGGAUGGUAGUAGCAGAUUCUGUUGUUUCUUAUUUGUGGGCGUCGACGGAGCGGAUAUAUGAAUGGAACAAACAAUUGAAAGGUGGUUUUGAUACACAGUCCAUCGACAAGAGUGAAAAUGAUAUAGCCUGCUUUCUCCUACUAGUGAUGUAUCAGGCUUGUGUGUCCUUGAAAGAUCAUCUACCUUCAGAGAAACAGCUUCAGCUUGCCAAUAUGGUGGUACCAGCAAAUAUGGAUGUCCAUGCGUUCCAAGCAAGAUUAAAUUUUGAUAUGAAGAGUCUACCUCUGCUUUGAGCCCUUGACUUGUUCAUUUAUUCAUAUGGCAUGGCAAAACUCUUGUCAUGCCUUUGUUUACACUGUCAUAAGCAUUCUAUGUAAGGAGGUGGCUAAUACUAA
rnacentral:misc_RNA from 1 species